rnacentral:rRNA from 1 species
UAGUAAUCGCAGGUCAGCUAUACUGCGGUGAAUACGUUCUCGGGUCUUGCACACACUGCCCGUCACGCCAGCAAAGCUGGGGCCACCUUAAGUCUCUUAUUUUAAGGGCCCAAGGUGGAAUCAGUGAUGAGGGUGAAGUCGUAACAAGGUAGCCGUAGGGGAA